rnacentral:pre_miRNA from 1 species
CUUGUGGGGAAUGUUGGCUGGCUCGAGGCAUCCACAUGCAUCUCCUCGCCGCCGCCGGCGAUCUGGCUCCGGUGUGUGGAGGCGUCGGACCAGGCUUCAUUCCUCGCAAG